rnacentral:ncRNA from 1 species
AUAAAGUUUAAUUCUGGCUUAAAGAUUUAUUUAAUUUUUUUUUUACAUGUAAAUUUUUGUGUGAAUUUUAAUUAAAUUUUAAUAAUUUUUUUAAGGUAUUAUAUUCGCAGUAUUUAUUUUUAAUAAUUUAAGAGAUUAAGAAUUAUAAAUAAAUUUUAAUAUUGACAAAUUUUGUGCCAGCAGUUGCGGUUAUACAAAGAAUAUUAAUAAAUUUUAUUAGUAAAUAAUUAUAUAUAUAUAUUAUGAUUAAAAACAAGAUUAUAUUUAUUAGGUGAAAUUUUAAAUAUAAAAUUAAUUUUGAUAUAAAUUUUUAUUAUUAUGAAAUUUAUUUUUAAACUAGGAUUAGAUACCCUAUUAUUUUAAAUGUAAAAUAAAUAUACUAAAGUAGUAUUAGUUAUGUUCUUGAAAUUUAAAGAUUUUGGCGGUAUUUUAGUCUAUUUAGAGGAACCUGUUCUAUAAUUGAUAAUCCACGAUUAAUUUUACUUAGUUUCUAUAAAUUUGUAUACCGUCGUUAUAAGAAGAUUUUAAAAGAAUAUAAAUUUUUAAUAUUUUAUAUAAAAAAAUAUAUCAGAUCAAGGUGCAGUUUAUAAUUAAGAAGAAAUGGGUUACAAUAAAUUUAUUUAUACGGAUUAAAGUGAGAAUGUAAUUUUAUGAAGGUGGAUUUAAUAGUAAUAAAAUUAAUUUAAAUUUUAUGAUUUUAGCUCUAAAAUAUGUACAUAUCGCCCGUCGCUCUUAUAUAAAAUAAGAUAAGUCGUAACAUAGUAGAUGUACUGGAAAGUGUAUCUAGAAUGAU